rnacentral:rRNA from 1 species
CCCUUAGAUGUUCUGGGCCGCACGCGCGCUACACUGAUACGCUCAACGAGCUCCUUGGCCGAAAGGUCCGGGUAAUCUUUGAAAUCGUAUCGUGAUGGGGAUAGAACAUUGCAAUUUUUGUUCUUCAACGAGGAAUACCUUGUAAGCGCGGGUCAUCAUCCCGCGCUGAAUACGUCCCUGCCCUUUGUACACACCGCCCGUCGCUCCUACCGAUUGAGUGGUCCGGUGAGGCUUUGGGAUCUGAGCGGAAAGAGCGUUUCGCUGUUUCUGCUCGGAAAACUCAGUCGAACCUUAUCAUUUAGAGGAAGGAGAAGUCGUAACA